UAGCUUAGCAGCAUAAGUGCCUGCCUUGCAAGCACAAGGUUGUGGGUUCGAUUCCCAU
rnacentral:tRNA from 1 species